rnacentral:rRNA from 1 species
UACAGAGGGUGCGAACGUUGUUCGGAAUUACUGGGCGUAAAGCGUGUGUAGGCUGUUUUGUAAGUCGGGCGUGAAAGCCCCGGGCUCAACCCGGGAAGUGCACUCGAUACUGCGAAACUUGAGUUUCGGAGAGGUUGGUAGAAUUCUUGGUGUAGAGGUGAAAUUCGUAGAUAUCAAGAGGAAUACCGGUGGCGAAGGCGGCCAACUGGACGAAAACUGACGCUGAGACACGAAAGCAUGGGGAGCAAACAG